rnacentral:rRNA from 1 species
GAUCCUGGCUCAGGAUGAACGCUAGCUACAGGCUUAACACAUGCAAGUCGAGGGGAAACGAUAGAGAAAGCUUGCUUUUUCUAGGCGUCGACCGGCGCACGGGUGAGUAACGCGUAUCCAACCUGCCCAUCACUUGGGGAUAACCUUGCGAAAGUAAGACUAAUACCCAAUGACGUCUCUAGAAGACAUCUGAAGGAGAUUAAAGAUUUAUCGGUGAUGGAUGGGGAUGCGUCUGAUUAG